UAAAACGCAAUGAACAAAACAAGUACGUUCAAUGAACCGAACAGAGAGAUAAACCUAGGUUGAGAGUUUAUUACGAUGUAGUUGGACUGAAUGCCUUUGUGAGCGGGAGAACUGAAAUAUCAGUAGGUUUUCACGGUGAACUGCCGUUAUAGUAUUUGAGUGCAACAGCCUAUCCAUCUGUGAGUAUGCUGUUGUAAACAGAGUGGAACCGCGGGCCACCGCCUCUGNN
rnacentral:ncRNA from 1 species